AUUGUGUUUUACCUGCAAAAGAUUGUAAAUUUUGAGUUUGGUUUUUAUUCUUAAUAGCAUUGUAGUAUUGCAAAUUUUUUGUUAGAUAAUAGUUGAAGGAAAAUUCUCCAGUUUUGGUCAAAAAUCCAGAGACAAAGAAAAUUGAAAGGCUUUUCGAAUUUAUUACUUGGGGAAAGGGUUUUGCUUGUGUCUCCACAGAGAGAGGACUGAGAUGGGUGCCAGUGAGAUACGUGAGGCCAUGUCGGGUCCAGGCACGGGCGGAUGCCAGCCCUGAAGUGGAAAGUGACCUGUUGUGUUCGUAGAAGCUUUGGAAUCCCACAGGAGAAGGAUCACUGAGCCCCAUGGCAGCGUGCCAAGUACAACUUGUACUGAAACACAGUGCUGAGAAGUUGCAUUAUCAACUGAAGCGCAAUGUCAGCUUAGCAGGAGGCAUAUUAUUUGCAGAGUUGGAAAUUUCACAAAAUGCUAAAGGAAGAAGAUGAUGAUAGACAUUUUUAAAGAGCAAAGCAGCAGAGCAACUGCAGCUGGAGGAUUACAAAAUUUGUCAUUUAAAUUCAAGAACACCAAGCGCAAUAAGGAAAUGAUCAUAUGGAACACCGAAAUUGCAAAAAAUGAUUCACUUUAUUGUUUUGGAUCUAUUGUGAAGUUUUUAGCAGGCCACAUAGUCUGCAGA